UGCCAAUCUCUAUUAUACUAAGUAUGGAAAAGGUCUGAGGUUUUUUAAAAAACAUUUUCAUUCCAAGAAUCAUAACUACAGUAAAACAGCAAAGCUAAGCAAAAAAAAGUAACUGAGAUCCGGUAAGAUUUGGGCAACUAUGGAUAACGAGUGUCUGCAAUAGUGUUUCUCCCUCAUUCAUAGAGCAGGGGGUUCUAGAUGGAUUAACCUGGGGGUUCAUAGAUGAAUUUUAGGAGCUCUGUCUGUAAGGUUAAUUGCCGAGUUAAAUGAGGAAACGGAGACUGGAGUAAAAAAGUAAAAGCCAAUUUAUUCAGCUCCUGAGUGAGGUUCUAUGGUCCAGGAAAGGGGCCAGAGAAGUAGCGCUUCUCUUCUUAGUGCGUGGGGUUGUAUAGGGAGUGGAGGUAGUUGAUUGGCUGCGGGGGAAACAAAGCAGAGGUAGUCUCAUUGGUUAUGAAGGGACUGGGCACGGUCGAGGCGAGCCACCGUUGGCAGCCAGGCAGGGCUGCUGGCAAGUGGGCUGGCUGAGGGUGUACAGGGCAAGCUGCCAUAGGGCAGGUCUUGGUGGGAUUUUUAAAAUUUCGGUGGGGCCGAGUGCCUAGUUUUCUGAUGAGUGCAGGACUGAGAUUGGAAUGCGGAAAUGGGUGUGGGGAGCCGGCGUGGAGAGGCCAGAUGCUGAGUAAUGCUCUCAGAACGAUGACGUAGUUUUCAGCCUAAACAGACAUGGAAAGAAGGACCGUCUAUGGAGCGGAAUCAGUCUUCAGACUCCAAACGACACGAGAGAGAGUGUGGAAUGGUAGGGAAAAGCUGGAUACACCGGUUGCAACCCUGCCUCUGUAUCUUACUUUCCAAGUGUCCUUGACCUUGAGUGUGCUUGCAGAGGUUGUGAUGGUCGGAAGCCAGAGAGGAUGGAGAUGGAGAUGCAGAGGACACCCCAGAGACAGAAGAGCAGGAAGGCUCCAUCCUAUGCCCAGGAACAAUAAACUAUAAACUCGUGUCUCAUGGUCCACACUAAUUUUCUCUCUUUGUCUUGGCUACUCUCUCCUCAUUCCAGUCCGUCUGGGUGACAA
rnacentral:lncRNA from 13 species